CAUGCAAGUCGAGGGGCAGCGCGGGAUAGCAAUAUCCUGGCGGCGACCGGCGGAAGGGUGCGUAACGCGUGAGCGACAUGCCCGUUGCCCGGGGACAACCGGUGGAAACGCCGACUAAUCCCCGAUGGGAUAUUGUGCCGCAUGGCACGAUAUUGAAAGUUACGGCGGCGACGGAUUGGCUCGCGUCCGAUUAGCUUGUUGGCGGGGUAACGGCCCACCAAGGCUACGAUCGGUAGGGGUUCUGAGAGGAAGGCCCCCCACAAUGGGACUGAGACACGGCCCAUACUCCUACGGGAGGCAGCAGUGAGGAAUAUUGGUCAAUGGGCGGAAGCCUGAACCAGCCAUGCCGCGUGCGGGAAGGAGGCCCUAUGGGCUGUGAACCGCUUUUGCCUGGGGGCAAUAAGGGCGUCGCGCACGCCCGAUGAGAGUACCAGGCGAAUAAGCAUCGGCUAACUCCGUGCCAGCAGCCGCGGUAAUACGGGGGAUGCGAGCGUUAUCCGGAUUCAUUGGGUUUAAAGGGUGCGUAGGCUGUGCGUCAAGUCGGGGGUGAAAUUCCGGUGCUCAACACCGGGGCUGCCCUUGAUACUGUCGCGCU
rnacentral:rRNA from 1 species